rnacentral:rRNA from 1 species
GAAUCUAUCCGUUGGUCGGGCUUUACUGUCUAUACUGGUGUGAUGAGUUCUUACCUUCUGAAUAAUCAGCAUGCCAUUCACUUGGUGCGCUGGGGAAGCAGGACUAUUAUUACCUUGAAAAAUUAGAGUGCUCAAAGCAGGCUAGUGCCUGAAUACAUUAGCAUGGAAUAAUAAAAUAGGACGGCAUAGUUCUAUUUUGUUGGUUUCUAGGAUCACCAUA